UUUUCUGAAAUUUUUUAAUUUUUUUUGGUUUUUCUAUGCCUUAGAUGAAUGCAGACUCAAAAAUAUACACAAUGCAACACACACUUCCUGAGCCCUCCCCCAAACUUAAAUCACACAGUCCACUUUGUGACUAAACUCAGGACAAAUCCAAUCAUAGAAACAAAAUGAAGAACAAAUCACAACAGAUGAUAUAAUACAAUGGUGAAGUGAGGCGCUUACCUCAGUCGAAGAAUGAACGUAGUUGCUCAUCAAUGGCUGCCUGUGACUGCUCUCAGGCCAUAGACGAACCGCCUUGUUCCGUAUCAGCUCCAGCAGGUGGGUACUCGACCUCAUCAGCUCUGUGGCGGCCAGCACCGCUCUGAGGAUACUCGACCUCUCUUCUUCUACUGCGGCCAGCACCGCGGUCGAGUGAUCUCCUCGAGUGAAUGAGGCGUGAUCUGCUGCUAGAUCGAGUGAGUGUAGCCUUCCUUCUUCUCUUGUGCUCCCGGGACUCGAAUGAAGAAUGCCUAGCCGGGACAUGUGAGAUUCUCUGCUCGCUAAGCUCAUGUCUGUGCUCAUGCUCAUCAAAUCUCCUCGAUGGCAUCUCUAGAGGAGGUUGUCCCUGUGGAAUAGCAGUAGUGGAGGAGGAACAACUCAGCUUAUCUGUCAGAAACUUGAUAGUCUUGAAACACUUGGCGAGCAGCUUGUCCUGCUUUUUGCACCACUUCUGCAGUUUACUGUUGUUCCUAUGAGCUUCACUCAAGCUCUUGCUCUCCCUUGCUGGAGGCACAUGUUCACCAAAUUGAUACAUGCUAGUGUCGAACUCCACUGCUCUGUCUUCGUCCAUCCCAUCCUCAACAGCUUCUUCUAUAAGGUCAUCCUGAUCCAAUGGCGGAGCGUUCUCAUACUAGAGGCUUCCAAUCUCAGGCCGAAAAUCAAUGUUAUCUCCCUCUAUUAUCCGAGUAACCAUAGGGCUAGGGAGAAGGAUGCUAGCUCGCUUGUCUGUAGAGUGCUCAAACCUGAACCGGUGCAAGUCGCCAACCAUUGCGAACUCCAGGAAUUCACAGUGACGUAGAUGCUCAAUAUCCAUUGCCCGUGGCUCAAGUCCAUCAGAUGUGAUUGGGACUCCACAAGCGAUCAAAAUCGAUGUCAAAACACCAUCUAUGCACAGAGCGCCUCGUGCUCUCUUGUGGUUAUUGCUGACAGCCCAGCUCUUGUAUCCACACAGAUUGAUCAGAAGAAGUACAGAGAUAGGUGUGUCAUUGAUUUCACCUUGGAGAGACAUGUCGUUCUUAGUUUGGCCAAGAGUUCCCUUGAGAGCCAUAGCGAUCAUCUCCAUAUCAGAAUUAGUAACAGUCCCUGUGAUCUCUCGGGAGUAGAGUACAUUGGCUAUAGAAUGCUGGAAGUACCUGAUGAGAGGGCUACGUAUCUGAUUGCUCUUUGACCUGGCAUAAUUCAGCGGUACAGAGCUGCCAAUGGUGAUCCACAAGUCUUUCAACUCUUCUCUGUCAUACUUGGGCUUAGUUCCCAUUCCAUUGGGGAAACCAAAUAAUCCUUCCAAGCGCUUGAUUGAUAACCUAUACUCAUGACGAUACACAGAGAAUCUCAAGAAUCCCUUUCCUUCACAAUUCAACUCAUCAGAGGUCAUACUUUGGUAGAGCUCCACUUGCAGCGUGGAGAGGAAUUGAAUUGUCUCAUCUUCAUAUGCUAUAUACGGAUAAGCCAUCAGAGUGUCCAGAUGGCAACUCUGGUACAGGUGCUGAACAUCCUCCAACAGUCCGAGUUGUGCAAGUGUGGUCGAGCAAGGAUACCUCGUGCUACAUAACUCAUUCAGCUUGAAGAGCCUAAUAUAUUCCUCAGCAGGCAAUACAUCGGGCUUGUGCAGAAGUUUAGUGGCUCUGCGAUUAUGCUCAGGCAUGUACUCGUCUUCCAGAUCCUCAUAUAUAAGCUCAUACCUCUCUAUCAUCGCUCUCUUCCCUCGGGCUAUCUCAGCUUUUCUUCUGAAGUUUUCAUAUUCUCUCUA
rnacentral:sRNA from 1 species